CGAGGAUUGCUGGCGCACGCGAGAGCGGAAGGGGGCAGGCGUCCGCCUGCUCGCAGGCCCGCUCAGUCCCCUCUCCCUUGGGGUGUCUCUGAGGCUCGGCGCCGCGCCUCCUGCCGGUGGCCAGAAGAAACCUCAUCCUCUGGCAGUCGCGUUUAUAACCGUGUUAGCGAUGGAAGGAAAAAAGAAGGGAUCUCUGUCCUAUUGGGAAGAAGAUUGCGCUUCCACAAAGUCGAAUUUCUCCUGUUAUUGGCUUUUAAUACGCUCCUUGCGCUCUUCAGCAGUUGGAAGAAGAAAAAAUCCCCCACAGUGACCCCGACGUGACUUGAACACGCAACCUUCUGAUCUGGAGUCAGACGCGCUACCAUUGCGCCACGAGGUCACACUUAGCACGGGAUUUCGCAUUGUUAUAGACUGUUUUACCGGCACGGCUCCCCACUCAAAAGACCCAGAGCGGGCUGCGCUUCCUCUCUAGAACCCAAGCACGCAAUUAAGAGCACGAGCGUGCGCAUCAGGCUCCUCGGACUUGGGGAAACGAACGCCUGUGAAGCAUCCGAGUCUGACUGCGGCGCCGCGGCGGAGCACCCGCCUGGGGGAGACACGGGCCGCGCGGGCUGCCUGAGGCGGGGACGCCGGCGGCGCAGAGGCGGAAGGCCCCGGAGCGGGCGGGAAUCCCGGGGGACGUCCCUCGUCCGCCCUCCGCCCUCUGCCCUCUGCCCGCGAAGUGGCGACCGUCCCGCGGUGAGGCUCAGGACAAAACAGUUUCUGGAAGAAAAUUAGAAUCAUUGAAAACCCCGCCAUCCAGAGCCCUCCAGCAUUGGCAAGGUUAUGGUGAAGAAGAGCUGGUGCCUCUCCCACAGAGGUCGCGAGCCCAGAAUCUACUGAAAAGAAUUCCUCACACCCAAGGAAAGACCAGAGGAGUCCAGCUCCCGCGAGGGGUGGGCUGCCCAAAGGAAAGGACGGCGUCAGUGAGUGAGGAGACAAGACACAGAGUCAAACUGGAAGCAUCUCCUAGCAAGCAUGCUAGCAGUGUUUUAUUUAUAUGAUAUCCAUUCCAGGCAUUUGUUCUUUGAUCAGUGAGGUCACAGUCUUUUUUCCUUUCUGUUUCUAACUUAUUCCCACUCACUACCUUUAAUUACAGGCAGAUAUCAUCGUUUCCUGCUACGUGCAGCUUUUCAUGUUUUAUUUCUUCCUUAUCAUGACUAAUUCUUAUGCAAAGCAGAUGCCAUAAAACAGUGCAUGAAAGGUGCUAGACAGAGCGUGAUUUAUUUUUUGACCACAAAGCGGCCAUUUUCACAUUUACAAUUAUCAUCCUUGUGCCUGGACUUUGUCAAACAGCCUGAGUAGCAUGGCUCCUGCCACUGUUUUAUGCAUUUGUAUCUCAAAUCAUAUAGAAAAAAGAGAUAAAAAUUAAAAACAUGACAAUACUUAAUUUUACAUGUAUCUUUUCUGAUCUUUUUUAUUUAGUCAUAUGGUUUUGAGUCACUGUCAAGAGGCCUUUAAUUUCAGCCUGAAGAGCUUCCAUAGCAUUUCUUGUGGAAUAGCAGGUCUAGCAGCAAUAACCUCCCUCAGCUUGUUUACCUGGGGAGUCUUCAUUUCUUCUUCAUUUUUGGAGGAUAGUUUUGUUAGAUACAGAAUUCUUGGUGGAUGGUUUAUUUUUCUUUGAUACUUUGAAUAUGCCAUCCCACUGUUUUCUGCAUUCCAUGGUUUCUGAUGAGAAUCAGCUUUUAAUCUUACCUUAAAUCUUAAAUUAACAUCUUCAUCUAGUAAGUCCAAGGUGUGGCCUUCCUCAGCAGACUUUUGUUAAUUCCCCUUUUUUCCUUGAUUGAACAAUAUUUCCUGUUUCUUCCAUGCCUCAUUUUUUGUUGUUGUUGGAAACUGGACAUUUUGAAUACUGUAAUUCUAGAAAUCCUCCUCAUUUGGAUUUGGUCGUGCUACCUGUGGUGGGUUCUAGUCAUUUAGUGCCUUUUCUAAACUCAUUUUGUAAAGCUUGUGAAAAGGCAAGCUCCCAGAUUCUAUUUCAGCCAAUUGGGACCCGGAUCCUACCUCAGCCAAUCAGGACCUGGAUCCUAUUUCACCCAAUCAGAGCUUGGUCUCUCUCCUCUCCAGUCAGCAAAGAGCUCACCCACCACCCUUAGACCCUGCCAAUUGACCAGAGCCACGACCUAUCAUCCCACCAACUACCCCUAGAUCCAGCCAAUUAGCCAGAGUCACGACCAUCACCCCACCAACUGCCCUAGAACCCCAUAAAACCCUUGUGGUAUUGAAACUGGCUCUCUUUCUCUGGCAUCUUGCCACUGCGUUGGUGUAGAUGAGAGAUUGAGCUCGAGCUAGCUCGAAUAAAGGCUGUUUGCUUUUG